GCUAACGCAUUAAGCACUCCGCCUGGGGAGUACGGUCGCAAGACUGAAACUCAAAGGAAUGACGGGGGCCCGCACAAGGAGCAUGUGGUUUAAUUGAAGCAACGCGAAGAACCUUACCAGGUCUUGACAUCCUCUGACAAUCCUAGAGAUAGGACGUCCCCUUCGGGGGCAGAGUGACAGGUGGUGCAUGGUUGUGUCAGCUCGUGUCGUGAGAUGUUGGGUUAAGUCCCGCAACGAGCGCAACCCUUAUCUUAGUUGCCAGCAUUCAGUUGGGCACUCUAAGGUGACUGCCGGUGACAAACCGGAGGAAGGUGGGGAUGACGUCAAAUCAUCAUGCCCCUUAUGACCUGGGCUACACACGUGCUACAAUGGACAGAACAAAGGGCAGGAAACCGCGAGGUUAAGCCAAUCCCACAAAUCUGUUUCAGUUCGGAUCGCAGUCUGCAACUCGACUGCGUGAAGCUGGAAUCGCUAGUAAUAAGAUG
rnacentral:rRNA from 2 species